UCAGGAGAGGCCUCUGCUAUCUAUUCAAAUAUGUCUGCUUUCCUUUUCCUAUAUAGGAUUUGCUAAUUCCUGUUUCAGAAUCUUUUUUACUCUGUUAUUUUCCUCACCAUAAACUUCUUCCUUUCUGCCAGCUCUUGUUAAAACUCCUAAAAUCUUUGAAACUAAUUCUAGUGUCUCCCCUGCAUGAUGUCAUUCCACUCCGUUCACUCCUUUACUCUCUGUUACUUCAUUGCUCAUCUCCUAUCUCUUUAUAUCAUUUUACAUGAGUGCACACACUACUUUACACUUUUACCCCUUCUCCUCUUAUGUGUGUAAUUUAUCUAAGUUAAUGCUUUCCAGAUGCAGGGAGGGGAUCUCUUUAUAGAGCAAUAGCAAUUGGCACCCAAAAACAGGAUAUGAGGAAACAUAUAUAAAGACCCAUUCUAAAGAGUCUUUAUAUAUAAAUUAUAAAGAAUUAUUAAGACUCAGAAAAAUAGAUGGGAAAAUAAAAUUUUUCUUGCUAACUCUUCUAUUCAUAUUAAAGUGCAACACUAAGCCUGUUUCCUCUAAUAAUAAGAAGAAAGAAUAAUUCCAUGGUGGAGAAUAUUCAGUCAAUUAUUUUUAAGAUAGUGUAUGCAUUCUUUGAAGUCAAUUGUAGUGAUUCUUUUGUAUCUCUCUUGGAGUUUCAAAUAAAUUGCUUUGGCCUAAAAGGUAUGCCAUAAUUGAUUAUUUCCCAACUAAUUUUACAUUAUAGCUAUAAAUGUAUCUUAAUUCUAAUAAUUUACAAUACCUAAAACAACAUAACACACUGUAAAGAUGUGUUUUAAGAGACACACUAUCUACCAUCUUCCUAUUGAACAAAGCAAAGGCUCUGGAGUCAGAUUACUUGGUUCCAAAUGUGACUCUAUUCUCCUCAAUUUCAUCUACAAAAUGAGCAUAACUGUGGUAUAUACUUCAGGGGAUUGAUGAGAAUUAACAGUUGUAAGCACCUAGAACGUGCCUGCAGCAUGUAAACAUUCAAAUAUUUUAGUAAAUUAUUAUUAUUAUUCUUUUAUGUUGAGAAAAGAUAGCAUCUUCUUUCAGAUUUACAUAAAUAAAUGCUAAUGUAUAAUGGUAGGCAGAAUAGUGGCCCAUCUAAGAUACCCAUGUCCUAAUUCUCAGAACCUGUAUGUUACAUUACAUGGCAAGGAGGAAUAUAGGUAGCAGGUGGAAUUUUGGUUGCUAAUCAGGUAACCUUCAUAUGGGAAGAUUAUCCUAGAUUAUCCAGGUAGGUCCAACGUAAUCACAAAGGUCCCUAGAAGGGAAAGAGGGAGGCAGGACAGUCCGUGAAAGAGUGAAAGAAUGAAAGGGAGGCUGAAGAUCCUACACUGCUGGCUUUGAAGUUAAAGGAAAAAGCCAUGAGCCAGAGAAUGAAGGCAGCAUCUAGAAGCUGGAAAAGGCAAGGAAACAUAUUCUCCCCUAGAGCCUCCAGAAAGAACAGAGCCAUGCUGACAGUUUGAUUUUAACCCAAUGAGACCAUGUCGGACUUCUAAUCCACCGAACUCAAAACCUACCCUCAGGAAAAGGUCUGAAACUCAUUCACACUGAAGACGCAAAGGACUGAUAAUAGCUCAAUGUGAAAGCCUGGUGUGAGAGCCCUGCCCCUGGUUUCUGUGCCAGGUAUGCUAAUGUAACCUCCCUAAGUCUGUUUCCACAUGUAUAAAAUUAAAGUAGUUGAAUUAAUGUUUCUUAAAAUCCAUUCCAGCCAGGUUAUUGCCUUUAGGAACGUUUGCAGCUUUAUGCAUCAUUCAUUCAGUGUUUUAUGUAGCAUCUGAGAUAAGGACUACUGUAAUUUCAAUACUUAUUCAUUAAACUUACUCUGUGCCAGA